rnacentral:rRNA from 1 species
AGUGAACGCUGGCGGCAGGCCUAAUACAUGCAAGUCGAACGGCAGCACAGCAGAGCUUGCUCUGUGGGUGGCGAGUGGCGGACGGGUGAGGAAUACAUGGGAAUCUGCCCAGUCGUGGGGGAUAACGUAGGGAAACUUACGCUAAUACCGCAUGCGCCCUUCGGGGGAAAGCCGGGGACCUUCGGGCCUGGCGCGAUUGGAUGAGCCCAUGUCGGAUUAGCUAGUUGGCGGGGUAAUGGCCCACCAAGGCGACGAUCCGUAGCUGGUCUGAGAGGAUGAUCAGCCACACUGGAACUGAGACACGGUCCAGACUCCUACGGGAGGCAGCAGUAGGGAAUAUUGGACAAUGGGCGCAAGCCUGAUCCAGCCAUGCCGCGUGAGUGAAGAAGGCCCUCGGGUUGUAAAGCUCUUUUGUCCGGAAAGAAAAAGCGCCGGGUUAAUACCCUGGUGUCCUGACGGUACCGGAAGAAUAAGCACCGGCUAACUUCGUG